GGUUGAUCCUGCCAGUAGUCAUAUGCUUGUUUCAAAGAUUAAGCCAUGCAAGUCUAAGUAUAAACUAACUUAUACGGUAAAACUGCGAAUAGCUCAUUACAACAGUUAUAAUUUAAACGAUGAUCAAUACUAAAUGGAUAUCCAUGGUAAUUCUGGAGCUAAUACAUGCGACAACCCCGACUCUUUGGAAGGGGCGCAUUCAUUAGUUCGCGAACCAAUCAGAAGGGCAACUUUCUGUUACAGGUGAUCACAAUGAAACAGCGGAUCUCGUCUUUGAGACUGUUCGUUCGAGU
rnacentral:rRNA from 1 species